rnacentral:sRNA from 1 species
AGGAAAAGGUGAAAAGAA